AUGGCCUCCAGGAGGCUGAUUAUUUUGAACAGAAGAUUCUGGUUCAGAACUCAUGCCAGGUCAGGCACCCCAUUCUUGGUUUGUUUCUUCGGUUUCUUCAGUGAUGUGGACCAGGAGGCCCUGGGGGGUGGCCCUUCCCAGGACAGGGCCCAGGGUGGUGCCCAGGGCCAGGAGGGUGCCCACCUCCAUGGCAGUGCCCCUGCAGAAAAGCCAGAUGAACAAUGUUAAGAGUCAGAGGUUAGUGCCAAUCUUACCUGAGAUCAACUCCCCCUUCUCCCUCCCCCUUCCUCCUCUCCAACCCCAACUCUAGAGGACUCAGGAUUCCUGGGCACUAGCAGGGGGUUGGGGUGGAGGUCUGAGAGUCAAGGACGGCUAGUGACUGCUCCUAGCCCUGAGCCUUUUGCUUUGAUAAAGCCAGAGCACAGAGGGGACACGGGGGUGGGGGGGGCGAAGAACCUAGAUUCAUUGGGUUCCAUUCCUUGAACUGAGAUAUGACUCCCACUCCCUGGACCUAGUUUAUCUUAUCUGCAGCUAAGAAGCAGAAUGAUCUCAUUUUCUCCCUUCCCUCACCCGGGAACCCUUGCAGAGUGACUAGAGGUUUUGCCAGGCUGACUACUUAGAAGUGAAGGAGGAGCUGGGGGAAGCUACAGAUGAACUCACAGGAGGGCAAGGAGGAGAUAGGAGGCAGGGUGACAGGAGAUGCAGGGCCAAGGAGGGGACAGCUGGAGAGCGGGAGGAGACAAAGGUAGGAGGCAGCAAGAUAAGGAUGUGCUUGCUCUCUGUAUAGGUAGCACGUGCAGGUACAAGGGGAUGUGCUGCAUUUACAUACACAUAGCUGUCUGUACCCACGUGCAUGGGUGGGGGCCUAUACAUGGCUGAUGUGCACACAGAUACAUGCAUAUGGGUACACGUGCCUGGCUGUGUACAUGACAAUGGGAGUGUAUGCUCUGGCACCUGAGCAGAGCAGGUGCCAGACUCAAGAAAUGAGGAAGAAUAGAAAGUAAAACCAAGGCUUUAAUUGCCUGGGACAGAAGAGGACUGGAAAGAGUGGUUUGCCCUUCUGUCUUGGCUGGAACCCCUCCUGAGGCCCCAGGACCAGAGGAGUUUCUUUGCCUCUUGCCACAAGCCCAGGGACAGGAAGAGACACCACCGUGCUUAUAGUGAUGGGCACUGAGGGUCUGGGGCCCUGAGGACCAGGGGUGGGGCUAUGGCCCUACUCUAGAGGUUGGCUAACUUCCCAGUCUGCUCCAGCCUCCUAGAACUUGAUAAGGGCUUGCAGUGGGUGGGAAGAGGUGGGCCUCAGGGCUAGG
rnacentral:lncRNA from 1 species